rnacentral:rRNA from 1 species
UACGUAGGGGGCUAGCGUUGUCCGGAAUCAUUGGGCGUAAAGGGCGCGUAGGCGGCCACCGCAAGUCGACUGUGAAAUCUCCGGGCUUAACUCGGAAAGGUCAGCCGAUACUGCGGGGCUAGAGUGCAGAAGGGGCAACUGGAAUUCUCGGUGUAGCGGUGAAAUGCGUAGAUAUCGAGAGGAACACCUGCGGCGAAGGCGGGUUGCUGGGCUGACACUGACGCUGAUUGUGCGAAAGCUAGGGGAGCGAACGGG